GCCAGUGUGGCUUAGUUGGUUAAGCAUUGCCCUGUGCACUGAAAGGGCCCAGGUUUGAUUCCUGGCCAGGGCA
rnacentral:tRNA from 1 species